GUGGACGUGCCGGAGUGGUUAUCCGGCAUGAGUAGAAAUCAUUUGCGCUUUGCCCACGCAGGUUCGAAUCCUGCCGCCCACG
rnacentral:tRNA from 1 species